GCCAAAAUGGAAUAUAUAUCUGAGGACCAAUCCAAAAACGUCCUCCGUGCCCGAUCAAAGACGCUCAAGUCCGGCUUCCAUCCGCCAGUCUCCCGUCCAGGGCGGCAUGCCGGUGACAAGUUGACGGCUCGUCAAAGUCUCACCUUGCCUCCGUCACUCAGUCCAUGGCCGCCUCCAAAUGCUGCUGCCGGACAUGCAGCACUUGUGCAAACUUUCUCGGGGAGAUGCCGUCGUCCCCGCGGAGCGUGCGGGCGCAGGAGUGGAGUGGAGGACGCAGGCUGCUGUAGAUAUGCACCGCAGGACAGGAAGGGAGGGAGGGGGCCACACUGCCGCAUAUUCCUGCUCGCGGCUCGGUCACACUGUCUCCAUGCCGCCGCUGACGCGGAGCACGUCGGCUUCUUUCUGCUCGGAUCUCCGGGAGCACACAACUUUGUUCCGGUGCGGGACAGGCGGGCGCGCUGGCGGGACCACAGGUGCUGCUAGGAGGGGUGACAGCCGCGUGGGGCCCCUCGCUCAAGAGCCGCCAAUGAGGACAUGUUGCCUGGAGGACUAUGUCUAUGUUCCUCUUUUCUAAACACGUCUCUGGGGAGGUGAGGGGAGCAGUGAGCAGCAGCGGUGGCCGCGCCCGGGAAUAAUUUUUGGUGAUUCAACCCCCAAUUCCAACCCUUGAUGCUGGGGGCCAAGCAGGGAGCGCAGGCUCGAACCCGCUUUUCCCUGGCAGCACGGCCAUGCAGCGACAAGGCUGCAGGCAAUUAGAAAUCAGCGCACUUGGUUCUAUAACAAGAGGGAGCAGCAUAAAGACCAGCGGACCCAAGAAACCUUUGCCAGAACGUAGCCAAUCUUCCCAGUAAGCAUCACGUGUGGCACCCCUCCCUCGGUCCUUGUUCGCCUUCUCUGUGUUUUUCCUUAUUCACAAGUUCAUGUCCCUCGUGUCUUUCCCGUCGUCUGUGAUCGUGUGUUGCUUCACAACCUCCAUCCGGACCUCUGAUUGCCUUCCUCGAUUCUCGAUCCCUGCUUGGACACGGACAUCUUUGCCUCUCCCCAACCCUCGACUGCUUGCCUCCCUUCGGACUGCCUCUUUGCCUUGCCCCCUUGAUUUGAAGAAAAAGUCACCCAACACACACAGACAACAAACCUCGGUAAAACUUACACGGUUAAUUCUACACAUCGUCCACACUCAUUCACUUGAAGUAGCAUACACUAUCCACACCCUCAUCAAAGGUUUCAAUAAACCUGGUAAACUGAAGUUCAGCCUUGGAGUCGCCUCCUUCCUGUUUCCUGUACAGAACAUUUUUGUUGUGUUUCACUUGAAUUAUG